rnacentral:rRNA from 1 species
AUUGAACGCUGGCGGCAUGCCUUACACAUGCAAGUCGAACGGCAGCACGGGUGCUUGCACCUGGUGGCGAGUGGCGAACGGGUGAGUAAUACAUCGGAACAUACCUUAUCGUGGGGGAUAACGCAGCGAAAGCUGUGCUAAUACCGCAUACGCCCUGAGGGGGAAAGCGGGGGAUCGAAAGACCUCGCGCGAUUAGAGCGGCCGAUGCCUGAUUAGCUUGUUGGUGGGGUAAAAGCCCACCAAGGCGACGAUCAGUAGCUGGUCUGAGAGGACGAUCAGCCACACUGGGACUGAGACACGGCCCAGACUCCUACGGGAGGCAGCAGUGGGGAAUUUUGGACAAUGGGGGCAACCCUGAUCCAGCAAUGCCGCGUGAGUGAAGAAGGCCUUCGGGUUGUAAAGCUCUUUUGUCAGGGAAGGAACACCGGCUCUAACACAGUCCGGGAAUGACGGUACCUGAAGAAUAAGCACCGGCUAACUACGUGCCAGCAGCCGCGGUAA